CUCGCGUUCAGUUUCUCGUUGACUAGGUAGUAGCUAUUUUCCUGUAAACGUUUCUGUUAUUAUGAACGCAUAUUCUGUAUUGAUAGUAUUAACAAUAACGGUAGUUUCGUUGUUGGUGACUUUGCCAUUCUUGUCUGCACAAAAUAAUCAAUUACAGUUCAAUAAUGGACAAAGUAAUAUUGGCCAAUAUGGAGCUGACAGUAAUGCAGCAUUUACGAUCCCGUCUUCUUCUUUGAAUUUGGAAUCCGUGAACAUGGAACCUAUGAUUCCGGCACCCACAAAUGUGAAUAAGCUCUCAGUGGGCAAUACAAACUGGAUUAUCAAACUGGCAAUAAAUAUCAGUUGUCUUAACAGAGAUUCUACUAAGAAGAACUAUCCUAACUGGUGCUUCCUUAACAGGUAUAACCCUAACGGGUACUUUCCUAGCAAUGGAUACACUAAUAGGGAUUACUCUGAAGAGGCCAGUGCUACUGGAGAGUCUCUUAACAUAUUCAACAUCUAUUUUAACAUAAUGUUCCGAAAUGGAAGUUAUCUUGAUAAGAAUUAUCCUAACGAGACUAAAGAUAAUGAGAGGCAUCUUAACGGACAAAAUCUCAACAUUGGUGCUCCUAACGUAGUCCUCCACGAUGAAGACGGGACUAGUAAUAAUGGAGGACACCUUAAUAGACAAAAUCUCAACCCUGUCUCCCUUAACAUAGUCCUCCAGAAUGGAAGUGAUCCUAACGAAUUUAAUAGUAACGGCGAGAAUUUUAACGAACAAAAUCUCAAUAUUACCUCUUCUAACAUGGACUCUCAUAAUGGAAGCAAUUCUAACGGAAGUUAUUCCAGCAAUAUAUUUCCCAUCGAAAUCUCUCUUAAUAUAGGCAGUCAACAUCCUGAAACAUCGAGUUUGAAUAAUUUGAAUAACGGGAUUGGACAAAAUUUGUCAAUAGGCAUUUAUGUCCUUACUGAGCCAUCAACCAGUAAUCCUUUAGGAUUAAAUGAUAACUUCACAACAUCAUUUCAAUCUAAUGCUAGCGACGUUAAUGAUGGUACACCAGGAAUAAACAAAACGCAGCAGGAUCGUGGACAGUGCAGAGACGAUGAGUUCCACUGUGGAAGCAACGAGUGCGUACCGUCUAAUGUCAAAUGCGAUAAUAAAGCUGAUUGUAGCGACUCCAGCGAUGAGGCAUUUUGCAUUAUGGAAGCAUAUCAAGAAAACGGUUGCGCAUUACCUGAGCAACCGACAGGUGGACGUUAUAAGUUGGUAGGAUGCGACGAGUUAUGCCGUAAACAGUCUGGCGACAUUGUUCCGCAGCACAGUAUUCUUAUUUAUACCUGUAAUAACGAUUACAUGUUGUAUGGCAGCAAUAUUACCAUUUGUCUUAACAACAUAUGGGAUCAUCAGGUCUCUUGUUUCAAAAAUUGCCCGCCAUUGAACAGUACCAGCGUAGACAUUCAUUGCAGUUAUCAAGAAAAAUUUGCAAUUUGUAGCGAGCAUUCAGUCCUACCUGGGACACAAGCCUGGUUGACCUGUAAACCAUUUUAUAAAUUACCUUUAAUCAAUCCGGGUGACAUGUCGAUGAAGUGUCUUGACAGUGGCGUGUGGGAUCGCGCUAUGUUUCACUGUGAACCAGAAUGUGGCGUAACUAUCCAAAAUACUGAGCAAGUAUUGAUAAUUAACGGCGUUAUCAGCGGCAUUGCGUCCAAAUUAGGCUCGUUUCCCUGGCAUGUUGGUAUCUAUGUAAAAGAUGGCACCAACACGUACAAGAAUAUAUGCGGUGGCAGUCUAAUAAGCAAUAACCUCGUCGUCUCAGCUGCACAUUGUUUCUACGACGAGGCUGAGAAUAAACUUUACAACGCGUCGAAUUACGCUGUGGGUGCCGGCAAAUACUAUCGUUCUUGGGAUGCCGAGGAGCGGCGAUUCAGUCAGAAGUCGUUGGUGGAAUACAUAAAAUUGCGCUUCGACUACUUUGGGACGAGAGGUAAUCUUGCCGAGGAUAUAGCUCUGGUGAAGCUACAGACGUCUUUAAAUUUCAACAAACUGGUCAGACCUAUCUGCGUAGAUUGGCAAAACAUGUACGACAAAGAACAGCUGCAAGUGGGACAAUCAGCUGGCCGGCUGGGGUAAAGAUAUCACUUUUAAGCCCACUGAGGAAUUAUUCGAACUUACUAUGCCGUACGUGGAGCGUCAGAAAUGUCGAGAUAAGGUACCACUAGAAUUUCGCGGAUUCAUCACGUUCGAUAAGUUCUGUGCCGGCUUUACGAAUGGUUCAAGCGCCUGCGAUGGAGACAGCGGUGGCGGUUUAUGUUUUGAGAAAGAUGGUAUUUGGUAUCUUCGUGGUGUCAUCAGCGCGUCUCCCCAGAAGAAUGGCCAUUGCGAUUUCAACUCUUACGUUGCAUUUACCCGGAUCAGUACCUAUCUUGAAUGGAUUCAUAAUUUUUAC
rnacentral:misc_RNA from 1 species